ACGGUAAAUCUCACCCGUAGCUGACAGCUAGUGAUACCAAUAGUAAAAUAAACGGUGGUGUAAAAACAAAAUGUUACUAGUUUCGCGAAGUGGCGCUAAAUUUCGCGCCUUUGCGUGAAUGGUGUUUGGUGUCAAUGGUGUAUAACCUACCACCUACCACCCCACACAUCGCCCUAUGCUAUCACCAUAAAAUUUAUAUUAUUGCAUCUGUGUUAACUUCAGGUUAAUUGUUAUAGUCAGGUGCUUUCGUGUUGUAUUACACAAUUUUGUUUGUGUUGUAAUACACAAUAAUAGUUUACGAUAUAAGUGAAGUUAAUAAAUAUACAUUACUGCAGAUCUAGGAGUGGAUUGUUACUGGUAAAGGGAUGGAUGCCACGAAUAAUAUCAUUAAAUGUCUUGUGUGUGACAAAACAUUUGUGUGCAACUCUUCCAAAAAUCAACACAUGCGAAAGUUUCACCAAAUUAUAGGAACAAGUAAAGGUAAGAAAAAUAACAUAUCUUGUAUAUUAUGUUCUAGGGAAAAACAAGUCCAAAAAGUUUUUGGUACUUAUCUGGAAUUAACAAAGCACUUUGAGGAAGAACAUCACAUCCAAACAGAAGAGGAAGUCAUUAAGUGCAGUAAUGUUGAAGAAUUUAACAAGUGGAUGCUCAUUCAAAGAAAAAGUGUCAGAUAUACUAUUAGAAGAAAAAAUAAUUGUUCAAAUUCUAAAACUAAUAGGAGAAUUGUUUAUUAUGAUUGUAAUAGAAGUAAUAAUGGCUAUGAAAGUAAAGCAGUUGCAAAAUUGCCAAAAGCUGGAGGCAGCAUUAAAAUAAAGGGAACUUGUCCAUCACGAAUAAUAGCAAAUUUUGAGGAAGAUGGAACAGUAACAGUGAAAUACAUUAAGUCCCAUAUUGGACAUGAAGAAGAUCUUAGAUGUUAGAGGUUAACACAAAUUGAAAGGCAAGAAAUAAAAAAUAAAUUACAAACAGGGGUUAAUAAGAAGAGAUUAGUAGAAGAUGCAAGGCAGUUAGAAGGCAACAAAAUUACAAGACUUAAUUUAUUAACAAAACAAGAUAUAAACAAUAUUGAAAGAAAUAUAAAAAAAAAAACGAGAUGCUAAUGAUAUGAUUGCAACUGCAAUAAAAGUUACAAAUGAGUGGAAUAGUGAUGGAAAAAAUUAUGGUUUUUUAUUUAAACAACAAGGGGAAGAGGCACAUGCUUAUUUAAGAAAAGAUGAUUUUGCGGUUGGGUUUAUGAAUUCGGUGAUGGAGCAUAAAUUAAAAGUCCACAAAGAUAUAAUUUAUAUAGAUGGGACACAUAAUACAAAUAAUCGAGGAUGGGAGUUAACUACACUUUUAGUGAAAGAUGACAGGGGUGUUGGUUUUCCUGUUGCAUUUUUAGUUUCAAAUAGGAGAGAUCAGCUAAUAUAUGAAGUAUUUUUAGAUGCAAUGAAAAAUAGAUUAGAUGAAGAUAUAGAACCAACUUACUUUAUGUCAGAUGACGACCCCAAAUAUUAUAAUUCAUGGGUUAAAGUGAUGAAGAAUAGACCAAGAAAAUUGUUGUGUUCGUGGCAUGUGAUAAAGAAUUGGAAUAUCCAGGGAAGAUCCAAAAUUAAGAAUCCAGAAAUAAGAAAAUCUAUGAAAACUGAUAUGGGAAAAAUUUUGAGGGAGACUAAUGAAAAUCGAUUUGCAACGCUGAGUGAAAUUUACAUGAAGAAAUUAGCAGAAGCAGAUGAAAUAGAAUGUUUAAAUUAUUUAAAAAAGAAUUAUUUUCAGAGUGAAGAGCGAAUAAAAUCAUGGGCCUAUUGUUUUCGGAUCAACUCAGGAAUCAACACUAAUAUGGCAAUAGAGAGUUUACACAAAUUUAUAAAAUAUUAUGAACUUAAUAAAAGAAGAUGUAACACCAUUGAAAAUUUAUUGGAUAUUUUGGACAAAGUGGUUGAAGAUAAGACAUGGACUAGAGUAGUGGAGUUGCAUAGACCUAGUUCUAAUAGUUAUCAGCAAAGAAUGGUCAGGGAAAGUCACAGAAAAGCAGAGAGUAUUGAAAAUAAUGUGGAAGAAGUGGGAUUUGGUGAAUUUUUGGUGAAAUCUCUAAAUUCUAAUUUAAAUUACAGAGUUGCCUAUGGUGAUCGUUUGUGUAAAAGUGACUGUAAACACAUGUAUUGUACAAUAUGUGAAAUUUGUUUUCAUCAGUACACAUGUCAGUGUCCACAAUUUUCAGUUAAACACAUUACUUGCAAACAUGUGCACAUGGUUGCUUUGUAUGAAAGGAAGAAGAACGAAUGCAUGUUAGGGAGACAUAAUACGCCUGUUGUAGUAGCAGAAGAUCGUAACUACUGUCAAAGUGCCAAGAAUGAAGAAAUUAACUCUUUUAUUGAAGAACAACAAGAAAAAUCUACUAGUGAUGGUACAAUGGAUGAUGAAACUUUAAAAAAAAUUCCCAAGAAACAAUUUUCAAUCAAAUUAGAGGUUUAGGUAUGGAGGACUAUAAAGAUUUUGUGACACAAUUUCAAGAGUGGAUGAAGAAAAUAGAUAUGAAAAAUACAUCAAGGAAAAGAAAAAUUGACAAUAAACAGACAUACUAUCCUGUGAAAAAAAGUAAAAAUUCUACUGCUGAGUGAAAUGAUUUGUGGAAUUGGAAGACCAAUGUAGCCUUUACUUGAUUCAUGUGAAUCAUUUUAUAGUUAUUAUAUAUAUACUUAUUAGAUUAUAAAUUACACCCCCUAACUUUACCCAUCUGAGUGUUGCAUUUUACGUCACAUAGUUUUUAGGUUUUUAUAAAAUAAUAAUAAAAUAUAAUAAACAUAUUUUUUAUUAUA